GCCAAAAUACAUGGUAUAGAAAGCAAACUACAACUUUGAUAAUACAGAUGUCGUGUAGAAUACGACAAUACAACUGUGAGUUUAAAUACAAAUAUUGCCUUCUAGACAAUAUACACACCAAAAUAAGUCCUCAUUAAUUAUUCAUACACUAUUUUACAGAAAUAGUGAGGACAGCUAAAACAUCUUCCUAGAACCAUCACUCCAUACCCCGACUCGAUCCUGCUAUGUUCUCACCUCCUGAGAAGAAAAAUGGAACAAAAAGGAAAAAGGGUGAGCUCAACUAGCCCAGUAAAGAACAUUAUGACUAAGAUAAUAUACAACAAAUUAUCGUUAGUCUUCAACAGGGAAAAAUCUGAUAAAUUAUAAUAGACAACAAGUUUUAGAUCAAUAAAGGCAGCGGAACAACAAUCCAUUAGAAGAGUCACGUAGAGAAAGAAUUUUACUGUCUUCUAAGGUUUAAAAGUCCAUCAUCAAUAUUUUACCCCUGUAACAACAAUCAAUAUUCAUCUUUGCACUACAGGCCAAAGAUAUUCAUUUAAAUCACCAGUUGGUCAUGUUCAUCUCAACACCUGUUCAUCUUUGCACUACAGGCCAAAGAUAUUCAUCAGUUAAUCGUUCAUCUUUGCACUACAGGCCAAAGAUAUUCAUCAAGUAUCACCAUUAAGGACCGAGGAUGAUGAAAAAUAUUUUUAAGAACGAAUCCAGUGAGAUAGAAGGACAAAUAUUAGGGAUUCGUACAACAGUUUAUCCAAGAUCGAUAAUACUUCAUAAUAAACGAUUUUGAAGCAGAACUCAAAAAUAACGAUCAAAACAUGGAUACAAUCAAAGAUAGUAGCCAAAAUAGACAUCUUGGACAAAAAGAAAAAUUUUCAUUUUUCGGUGAAUAGUGCCGUAUUCGUGAAUAGUGCCGUAUACGUGAAUAGUGCCGUAUACGUGAAUAGUAACCCCGACACAAAAAGAUAGAAAUUUCACAAAAAACAUCUUCACGCUUCGUGAAUAGUACUCGUGAAUAGUAACUCGUGAAUAGUAACUCAUGAAUAGUAACUCGUGAAUAGUAACUCAUGAAUAGUAACCCCGACAUGAAAAAGUUCCAAAUUUGAUAAAAAGUUCAACAAAGAUUUUGGCAUAAUGAUAUUGAAGAAAAUAAUAUCAUUUGCGAAAGAAAUAACAUCCCUUACCUCAAAAUAACCGUACUUCUGACUGAAUUUCGGUAUAGUGCUGACAGAAACUCGCACCGUAUAGCAACACUCAAAAUAUACUCACAAGAAUACGUUCGACAAUAUAGAGAGAGAAAGAGAGAAAACUUAGUUUCUGGUGUGAUUUUCAAUUCUAACUUAACCCUCUAUUUAUAGGAAAAUGCUAGAACGCCAAAGGAGACUAAAAUAAUAAAAUAUUAUUUUUUAUUUAAACUUCCUACGCAUGCUUUGUUAGGCCAA
rnacentral:lncRNA from 1 species